rnacentral:rRNA from 1 species
CCUACGGGGGGCAGCAGUGAGGAAUAUUGGUCAAUGGGCUUACGCCUGAACCAGCCAAGUCGCGUGAGGGAAGACUGCCCUAUGGGUUGUAAACCUCUUUUGUCAGGGAGCAACGCCGGCUACGUGUAGCCGGACUGAGAGUACCUGAAGAAAAAGCAUCGGCUAACUCCGUGCCAGCAGCCGCGGUAAUACGUAGGGGGCAAGCGUUAUCCUGAUUUACUGGGUGUAAAGGGAGCGUAGACGGCAGUGCAAGUCUGGAGUGAAAGGCGGGGGCUCAACCCCCGGACUGCUCUGGAAACUGUACGGCUGGAGUGCAGGAGAGGUAAGUGGAAUUCCUAGUGUAGCGGUGAAAUGCGUAGAUAUUAGGAGGAACACCAGUGGCGAAGGCGGCUUACUGGACUGUAACUGACGUUGAGGCUCGAAAGCGUGGGGAGCAAACAGGAUUAGAUACCCGGGUAGUC